rnacentral:tRNA from 1 species
CGGGGUGUAGCGCAGCUUGGUAGCGCACCUGCCUUGGGAGCAGGGGGUCGCAUGUUCGAAUCAUGUCGCCCCGA